AUUGAACGCUGGCGGCAGGCCUAACACAUGCAAGUCGAGCGAGCGGCGGACGGGUGAGUAUUGUCUGGGAAACUGCUUGAUGUAGGGGGAUAACUACUGGAAACGGUAGCUAAUACCGCAUACCAUCAGAUUUGCCCAGAUGGGAUUAGCUAGUAGUUGGGGUAACGGCUCACCUAGGCGACGAUCCCUAGCUGGUCUGAGAGGAUGACCAGCCAAAUGGGAACUGAGACACGGUCAAGACUCCGACGGGAGGAAGAAGUGGGAAAUAUUGCAAAAUGGGCGAAAGCCUGAGGCGGCAAUGCGGCGUGUGGGAGAAGGGCCUUGGGGUGGGAAAGCAUGUUAAGCGGGGAGGCGUUACCGGCAGAAGAAGCACCGGCUAACUACGUGCCAGCAGCCGCGGUAAUUC
rnacentral:rRNA from 1 species